CCACAGGAUCAAUCUAGAUGAUGGAGAUGUUGGGAGGACUUGAUGUUUCUGGACCAGUCUGUCAAUAGAAACCCUAGCAGAAGCUGAACUCCAGACAGCAGAGCUCCCAGCAUCCUCUGAGCUCACAAACCCUCCACCACCAUAAGGUGGCAGUUAAAGGAGAGACCACAUGGUUGGUCCACACCUGGAUUCUCUUUGUUCUGCUGCUGCUGCUUCCAUCAAAGUUACACAAGCUCUGGUUGGUUCUGAUGCUGUUCAGGAACUGGUAACAUCUCUAUAGCUGCUGCUUCAUCAGGAGGAACUUGGUGGUGUCCAUUCUGCCUCAUGCAUCGUCUAUAGAUCAGAAAACCAGCA